rnacentral:rRNA from 1 species
ACACGUAGGAGGCUAACGUUAUCCGGAUUUACUGGGCGUAAAGCGCGUGCAGGCUGUUCAAUAAGUUAGGCGUGAAAGCUCCCGGCUCAACUGGGAGAGGUCGUUUAAUACUGUUGGACUAGAGGAUGGUAGAGGGAGGUGGGAUUCCGGGUGUAGUGGUGAAAUGCGCAGAUAUCCGGAGGAACACCAGUGGCGAAAGCGGCCUCCUGGACCAUUCCUGACGCUCAGACGCGAAAGCUAGGGUAGCGAACGGGAUUAGAGACCCCGGUAGUCCUAGCUGUAAACGAUGUGAACUUGGCGUCGGUGGGAUUAAAUCCAUCGGUGUCGAAGCUAACGCGAUAAGUUCACCGCCUGAGGACUACGGCCGCAAGGUUAAA